rnacentral:rRNA from 1 species
AUUGAACGCUGGCGGCAUGCUUUACACAUGCAAGUCGAACGGUAACAGGCCUUCGGGUGCUGACGAGUGGCGAACGGGUGAGUAAUGCAUCGGAACGUGCCCAGAGGUGGGGGAUAACGCAGCGAAAGCUGUGCUAAUACCGCAUGUGAUCUGAGGAUGAAAGCGGGGGACCAGGCAGCAAUGUUUGGCCUCGCGCCUUUGGAGCGGCCGAUGUCAGAUUAGGUAGUUGGUGGGGUAAAGGCCUACCAAGCCGACGAUCUGUAGCUGGUCUGAGAGGACGACCGGCCACACUGGGACUGAGACACGGCCCAGACUCCUACGGGAGGCAGCAGUGGGGAAUUUUGGACAAUGGGCGCAAGCCUGCUCCAGCAAUGCCGCGUGCGGGAAGAAGGCCUUCGGGUUGUAAACCGCUUUUGUACGGAACGAAAAGGCUCUGGCUAAUACCUGGGGCUGAUGACGGUACCGUAAGAAUAAGCACCGGCUAACUACGUG